AGAGUUUGAUCAUGGCUCAGAUUGAACGCUGGCGGCAGGCCUAACACAUGCAAGUCGAGCGGUAGCACAGGAGAGCUUGCUCUCUGGGUGACGAGCGGCGGACGGGUGAGUAAUGUCUGGGAAACUGCCUGAUGGAGGGGGAUAACUACUGGAAACGGUAGCUAAUACCGCAUAACGUCUUCGGACCAAAGUGGGGGACCUUCGGGCCUCACGCCAUCAGAUGUGCCCAGAUGGGAUUAGCUAGUAGGUGGGGUAAUGGCUCACCUAGGCGACGAUCCCUAGCUGGUCUGAGAGGAUGACCAGCCACACUGGAACUGAGACACGGUCCAGACUCCUACGGGAGGCAGCAGUGGGGAAUAUUGCACAAUGGGCGCAAGCCUGAUGCAGCCACGCCGCGUGUGUGAAGAAGGCCUUCGGGUUGUAAAGCACUUUCAGCGAGGAGGAAGGGCAGUGUGUUAAUAGCACAUUGCAUUGACGUUACUCGCAGAAGAAGCACCGGCUAACUCCGUGCCAGCAGCCGCGGUAAUACGGAGGGUGCAAGCGUUAAUCGGAAUCACUGGGCGUAAAGCGCACGCAGGCGGUUUGUUAAGUCAGAUGUGAAAUCCCCGCGCUUAACGUGGGAACUGCAUUUGAAACUGGCAAGCUAGAGUCUUGUAGAGGGGGGUAGAAUUCCAGGUGUAGCGGUGAAAUGCGUAGAGAUCUGGAGGAAUACCGGUGGUGAAGGCGGCCCCCUGGACAAAGACUGACGCUCAGGUGCGAAAGCGUGGGGAGCAAACAGGAUUAGAUACCCCGGUAGUCC
rnacentral:rRNA from 1 species